rnacentral:rRNA from 1 species
AUUGAACGCUGGCGGCAGGCCUAACACAUGCAAGUCGAACGGCAGCGGGGGAUAGCUUGCUAUCCUGCCGGCGAGUGGCGGACGGGUGAGUAAUGCAUGGGAGCUGCCCAGUCGAGGGGGAUAACAACUGGAAACGGUUGCUAAUACCACAUACGCCCUAAGGGGGAAAGGUGGGGAACUUCGGUCCUACCGCGAUUGGAUGCGCCCGUGUGGGAUUAGCUAGUUGGUGAGGUAACGGCUCAUCAAGGCGACGAUCGCUAGCUGGUCUGAGAGGAUGACCAGCCACACUGGAACUGAGACACGUUCCAGGCUCCUACGGGAGGCAGCAGUGGGGAAUAUUGCACAAUGGGGGAAACCCUGAUGCAGCCAUGCCGCGUGUGUGAAGAAGGCCUUCGGGUUGUAAAGCACUUUCAGUCAGGAGGAAGGGGUGAUGGCUAAUAUCCAUCAUCAUUGACGUUACUGACAGAAGAAGCACCGGCUAACUCCGUGCCAGCCGCCGCCGUAA